UACGUAGGGGGCUAGCGUUAUCCGGAAUUACUGGGCGUAAAGGGUGCGUAGGUGGUUUCUUAAGUCAGAAGUGAAAGGCUACGGCUCAACCGUAGUAAGCCUUUGAAACUGGGAAACUUGAGUGCAGGAGAGGAGAGUGGAAUUCCUAGUGUAGCGGUGAAAUGCGUAGAUAUUAGGAGGAACACCAGUUGCGAAGGCGGCUCUCUGGACUGUAACUGACACUGAGGCACGAAAGCGUGGGGAGCAAACAGG
rnacentral:rRNA from 1 species